GGGUCAGUAGGUUGGUCGUGCCACCGGUACGUACUGGUCUCGCUGAUUCCUCCUUCCUGAAGAACCGUAGUGCCAUUAAUUUGGUGUUGCGGGGAAACAGGACUGUUACUUUGAAAAAAUUAGAGUGUUUAAAGCAAGCUAACGCUUGAAUACAUUAGCAUGGAAUAAUGAAAUAGGACGAUCGAUCCUAUUUUGUUGGUUUCUAGGAUUGACGUA
rnacentral:rRNA from 1 species